GUGGAUUAGAUACCCUGGUAGUCCACGCCCUAAACGAUGUCAACUAGUUGUCGGGGAUUCAUUUCCUUGGUAACGCAGCUAACGCGUGAAGUUGACCGCCUGGGGAGUACGGCCGCAAGGUUAAAACUCAAAGGAAUUGACGGGGACCCGCACAAGCGGUGGAUGAUGUGGAUUAAUUCGAUGCAACGCGAAAAACCUUACCUACGCUUGACAUGCCAGGAACUUUCCAGAGAUGGAUUGGUGCCCGAAAGGGAACCUGGACACAGGUGCUGCACGGUCGUCGACAACU
rnacentral:rRNA from 1 species